rnacentral:rRNA from 1 species
UUGGCCUACGGGAGGCAGCAGUGAGGAAUAUUGGUCAAUGGGCGGAAGCCUGAACCAGCCAAGUCGCGUGAGGGAAUAAGGCCCUACGGGUCGUAAACCUCUUUUGCCGGGGAGCAAGGGCGGGGACGUGUCCCGGCCCGGAGAGUACCCGGAGAAAAAGCAUCGGCUAACUCCGUGCCAGCAGCCGCGGUAAUACGUAGGUGGCAAGCGUUGUCCGGAUUUACUGGGUGUAAAGGGCGUGUAGCCGGGCCGGCAAGUCAGAUGUGAAAUCCCAAGGCUCAACCUUGGAACUGCAUUUGAAACUG